CCUGCCCUGUCCUGCCCAGCUCCCAACGCGGCAGGCAGCUGCGGCGCCUUCUUGCUCCGUCCGGGUCCAGAGCUCCUCUUCGGCCAGCUGCCCCGACAUCAGGCGGCUCCCGGACCCUGCGAUCUGUGCCUGCGCCAGCAGAAGAGCUCCCGAGGCCCGUGGGCAUUCCCUGGGCGUGGUGCCUGUUCUUCCUACUCCUUUCGGGAGAAUAUCCUUGGUCCUGCAGUGUUGCUGACAUUCACAUUUUUCUAACUGGUCUUGAAUAGCCUACUUUUUAUGUAAAGAACGACUAGACUUCAUAUUUUUCACUUCAGAAGACUAUAAGCUACAGUUGCCAGAGAGUUAAAAACACUACUUUUAGGAUACCAUUUACAUUAAACUUGAGAGCACUUCCUUUCUUAUUCCAAAAUGUUGAGAUACUGGGGAGAGAUACCAAUCUCAUCAAGCCAGACCAAUAGAAGUUCCUUUGAUUUGCUGCCACGGGAGUUCCGUCUGGUGGAAGUACAUGAUCCACCCCUGCACCAACCCUCAGCCAACAAGCCCAAGCCCCCCACUAUGCUGGAUAUCCCCUCAGAACCAUGCAGCCUCACCAUUCAUACCAUUCAGCUGAUCCAGCACAACCGACGUCUGCGCAACCUCAUUGCUACAGCUCAGGCCCAGAAUCAGCAACAGGCAGAAGGAAUAAAGACUGAAGAGAGUGAACCUCUUCCCUCUUGUCCUGGGUCACCUCCUCUUCCUGAUGACCUUCUGCCUUUAGACUGUAAGAAUCCCAGUGUACCAUUUCAGAUUCGGCACAGUGACCCUGAAAGUGACUUUUAUCGUGGGAAAGGGGAACCUGUGACUGAACUCAGCUGGCACUCCUGCCGGCAGCUCCUCUACCAGGCAGUGGCCACCAUCCUGGCCCAUGCGGGCUUUGAGUGUGCAAAUGAAAGUGUCCUGGAGACCCUAACUGAUGUAGCACAUGAGUAUUGCCUGAAGUUCACCAAGUUGCUGCGCUUUGCUGUGGACCGGGAGGCCCGGCUGGGGCACACUCCUUUUCCUGAUGUUAUGGAGGAGGUAUUCCAUGAAGUGGGCAUUGGCAGUGUGCUCUCCCUCCAGAAGUUCUGGCAGCACCGCAUCAAGGACUAUCACAGUUACAUGCUCCAGAUUAGUAAGCAGCUUUCUGAAGAGUAUGAAAGGAUUGUCAAUCCUGAGAAAGCCACAGAAGACACUAAACCUGUAAAGAUCAAGGAAGAACCUGUGAGUGACAUCACCUUCCCUGUCAGUGAGGAACUGGAGGCUGACCUUGCUUCUGGAGACCAGUCACUGCCCAUGGGAGUCCUUGGGGCUCAGAGUGAGCGCUUCCCAUCUAACCUGGAGGUCGAGGCUUCACCACAGGCUUCAAGUACAGAGGUAAAUGCUUCCCCUCUUUGGAAUCUGGCCCACGUGAAAAUGGAGCCUCAAGAGAACGAAGAAGGCAAUGUCUCUGGGCACGGUGUGCUGGGCAGCGAUGUCUUCGAGGAGCCCAUGUCAGGCAUGAGUGAAGCUGGGAUACCCCAAAGCCCUGAUGACUCAGACAGCAGCUACGGCUCCCACUCCACUGAUAGCCUCAUGGGGUCCUCCCCUGUUUUCAACCAGCGCUGCAAGAAGAGGAUGAGGAAAAUAUAAAAAGAAGAGAGAUUUUCUGUCCAAACCUACAAACCAAACAGAAAAUCUGAUAAAUUCAAAUUUGUUUCCAUAGUGAUUUAACUCUUAAAACACAGUGAAUUUUCCUGAAUUCAAGUGGAACUGGAUUUAACCAAACAAGUUUGCAUAUUACUUUUCCAUCCAGUUUUUGUAGUUUUCCAUGACCACCAAGCCACCUUUCACAGUUCCUCUUCCACUGCAACAAGCCACAAAGAACCAAGACUGCUGUACAGUGUAAACUGUUCUCUUGGAUGAAGCAGACCCUUCACUAUCCACUGCCAAGUGACUAUGACCAAAGUGUAUAUCAGCACAUUCCAGGCUCUGAAGUCAAGUAGUCUAUCAAGCUACAAACCAAUAGGGAAGUUUUGUCUUUAUUUUAGUUGCCAAUUCCAAAAGACUAGCAGUCCUAUGCCAACCCCCUGCCCCUGGUCUUGAUUCUGAAAGAUAACCUACACCUUAUGGGUGAGGGGCUGCUCUAUGUAGGCUAAAAUAACUUUGGGUAAGAGUCAGUGAUAAAUACUCAAUCUGAUGGAAUCUUCUUCCUAGAAAUACCCACGACUGUUUCAUGAAUCUACCUGUGAAUCUGCUCUCCACCAUCUGAAAUAAUUCUUCCUAUCUAUUCCAAAUCUUCCAAUAACACAAUGUUCUCAUGAAAAAGAAAUAUUGAAUCACAACAGUAAGGAUCCACUUACUUUGUUCAUGACCACAAUGAAAGGAAGCUUGGUUUUGUACAAGAUGCUGAAAAUCAAACAUCAAGACAUUAUUAUUUAAAAACUCUUCAGCUCUUAUUUAUCCAGUGUCAGUUUGUUGGAAUUGAGUAAAGAGAAGGAGAGUAAGUUCAGUCUCUAAGUAUAAGGUAUCCAUUCUUACAAGGUACAUAUCCUCCUCUCCCAAGGUGGAAAACCACCACCACCAUCACUCAAAUAACACACACAUAUAGUCUCUCUCUUCCUUUGAGUAAUAAUGCUUUGCU